rnacentral:rRNA from 1 species
AACUCCGGGAAACCGGGGCUAAUACCGGAUGCUUGAUUGAACCGCAUGGUUCAAUCAUAAAAGGUGGCUUUUAGCUACCACUUACAGAUGGACCCGCGGCGCAUUAGCUAGUUGGUGAGGUAACGGCUCACCAAGGCGACGAUGCGUAGCCGACCUGAGAGGGUGAUCGGCCACACUGGGACUGAGACACGGCCCAGACUCCUACGGGAGGCAGCAGUAGGGAAUCUUCCGCAAUGGACGAAAGUCUGACGGAGCAACGCCGCGUGAGUGAUGAAGGUUUUCGGAUCGUAAAACUCUGUUGUUAGGGAAGAACAAGUACCGUUCGAAUAGGGCGGCACCUUGACGGUACCUAACCAGAAAGCCACGGCUAACUACGUGCCAGCAGCCGCGGUAAUACGUAGGUGGCAAGCGUUGUCCGGAAUUAUUGGGCGUAAAGCGCGCGCAGGCGGUUUCUUAAGUCUGAUGUGAAAGCCCCCGGCUCAACCGGGGAGGGUCAUUGGAAACUGGGGAACUUGAGUGCAGAAGAGGAGAGUGGAAUUCCACGUGUAGCGGUGAAAUGCGUAGAGAUGUGGAGGAACACCAGUGGCGAAGGCGACUCUCUGGUCUGUAACUGACGCUGAGGCGCGAAAGCGUGGGGAGCGAACAGGAUUAGAUACCCUGGUAGUCCACGCCGGAAACGAUGAGUGCUAAGUGUUAAAGGGUUUCCG